CCUACGGGUGGCAGCAGUGGGGAAUAUUGGGCAAUGGGCGCAAGCCUGACCCAGCAACGCCGCGUGAAGGAAGAAGGCCCUCGGGUUGUAAACUUCUUUUGUCAGGGACGAAACAAAUGACGGUACCUGACGAAUAAGCCACGGCUAACUACGUGCCAGCAGCAGCGGUAAUACGUAGGUGACCAGCGUUAUCCGGAUUUACUGGGUGUAAAGGGCGUGUAGGCGGGAGGGCAAGUCAGAUGUGAAAUUCCAGGGGUCAACCCUGGAACUGCAUUUGAAACUGUUUUUCUUGAGUGAUGGAGAGGCAGGCGGAAUUCCGUGUGUAGCGGUGAAAUGCGUAGAUAUACGGAGGAACACCAGUGGCGAAGGCGGCAUGCUGGACGACAACUGACGGUGAGGCGCGAAAGCGUGGGGAGCAAACAGGAUUAGAUACCCCAGUAGUC
rnacentral:rRNA from 1 species